rnacentral:hammerhead_ribozyme from 1 species
GCACUGCUGAGGAGUCCCAUAAUAGGACGUAAAGGCCAUCCAGUGC